rnacentral:rRNA from 1 species
GAUGAACGCUAGCUACAGGCUUAACACAUGCAAGUCGCGGGGCAGCAUGGGGGUUGCUUGCAAUCCCCGAUGGCGACCGGCGCACGGGUGAGUAACGCGUAUCCAACCUGCCCUUCACCACGGGAUAACCCGGCGAAAGUCGGACUAAUACCGUAUGCUGUCCAUUGACGGCAUCCGAUUUGGACGAAAGGUUUGGCGGUGAAGGAUGGGGAUGCGUUCGAUUAGCUGGACGGCGGGGUGACGGCCCACCGUGGCGACGAUCGGUAGGGGUUCUGAGAGGAAGGUCCCCCAGACUGGAACUGCGACACGGUCCAGACUCCUACGGGAGGCAGCAGUGAGGAAUAUUGGUCAAUGGGCGUAAGCCUGAACCAGCCAAGUAGCGUGCAGGAUGACGGCCCUAUGGGUUGUAAACUGCUUUUAUGCGGGGAUAAAGUGGCCCACGUGUGGGUUUUUGCAGGUACCGCAUGAAUAAGGACCGGCUAAUUCCGUG